rnacentral:rRNA from 1 species
CCCUUAGAUGUUCUGGGCCGCACGCGUGCUACACUGAGUGGAUCAGCGGGUCAGGUUGCGCGAAAGUGUUUCCUAAUCUUGAAAUCCGCUCGUGAUGGGGAUUGACGGUUGCAAUUUUCCGUCAUGAACGAGGAAUACCUUGUAAGCGCGGGUCAUCAUCCCGCGCUGAAUACGUCCCUGCCCUUUGUACACACCGCCCGUCGCUCCUACCGAUUGAGUGGUCCGGUGAGGCUUUGGGCUCUGAGCAAAAAGAGCGUUUCGCUCGUUUGGCUCGGAAAACUCAGUCGAACCUUAUCAUUUAGAGGAAGGAGAAGUCGUAACA